GACGAACGCUGGCGGCGUGCCUAAUACAUGCAAGUCGAACGCACUCUCGUUUAGAUUGACGGAGUUUGCUCCUGAUUGAUAAACAUUUGAGUGAGUGGCGGACGGGUGAGUAACACGUGGGUAACCUGCCCUAAAGUGGGGGAUAACAUUUGGAAACAGAUGCUAAUACCGCAUAAAACCUAACACCGCAUGGUGUAGGGUUGAAAGAUGGUUUCGGCUAUCACUUUAGGAUGGACCCGCGGUGCAUUAGUUAGUUGGUGAGGUAAAGGCUCACCAAGACCGUGAUGCAUAGCCGACCUGAGAGGGUAAUCGGCCACACUGGGACUGAGACACGGCCCAGACUCCUACGGGAGGCAGCAGUAGGGAAUCUUCCACAAUGGACGAAAGUCUGAUGGAGCAACGCCGCGUGAGUGAAGAAGGUUUUCGGAUCGUAAAACUCUGUUGUUGGAGAAGAAUGUAUCUGAUAGUAACUGAUCAGGUAGUGACGGUAUCCAACCAGAAAGCCACGGCUAACUACGUG
rnacentral:rRNA from 1 species